AAACCUUGAGUUCGAAGCAUUCCACUACCACAAAUACCUCAAUUUUCUUCAAGGUAUGUCUCCUCUUACUCACAUUUCAAAAUCUUGUGUGCGCUCAUCAAAACCAGAAAAUUGCAGCCAUAAACCCAUCCUUAUCAAACCCAAGACAGUCCUACUUCAUUCUAGGUUCAAGAGUUCAAUCCUAUAAUCUAAACCAGCCAGUAAAACCACCAAAUAAACGAUAACCAGCAUGAUUCCAAGCCUAUAACUC
rnacentral:lncRNA from 1 species